AAGAACUUAGGUUACAAUUUUAAACCACGGGCCUUCAAAGCCCGAAACAGGGCCCACCCUAAACCCUAGUUCUUG
rnacentral:tRNA from 1 species